CUUCCAUUUAAGGCUAAAGGAGUAAAGUAGUAUUUCCUUGCUUUGAAUGCAGAAAGGCCUUGAGAAAUUUGGGCUGAAGUAGACAAUACUACCGGGCCCUUCAGGGGAAGUGAGCAGGACUUGCAAGGAAAGGGGAGCUGAAGGAUUGUCAAAAGAAGCUCCAUCAGGUCUGAAAGCAUUCUGUUUUCGCUCUGUCCAUAAGGAAGGAAACUUCUUGUGGUCCUGCUGAGAUGAAUUUGUCAGAACAAGUCUACAUGGUCACUGGAGGGAAGAGAAAUUAUGUUAUUAAGUUAUCCUAAUUAUUAUAAAAUAAGUGAAUCACAGAAGAAUAUUUUAGAGUAGGCAUUGUAAAACAAGUUAUUGGCAAGAUCUAUUUAAUCUAAAUGGAACUUUACUUCCAUAUGUUUCAAUUCAAGGCAGGUACAAUGCUUGUUUUUAUUCUAAGAUACAGAAGACACUGUAACUUAAUUGAAAAUAACCAUUCAGUCAUGGUGAUAAGGCAUAUAUAUGUCCUGUAAUUCUCAAAAUCCCACGGUCUUUAAUGCCUCUUAGUGUUUUGGGUGAAUUAUCAGCUACUACUGUGUGAUGGGCAAUCUGAACUAUUUUACAUCAGAGUUACCCAAAACAUGUACACUGUCUGAAGUUUUGCUGUCUUCUUUUUGGUCACUGUACGUUUAUCACUAAAUACUGUCUACCCGAUGUCUAACCCAAUUGAUACCAUGUUAAAAUUCUUGCUGUGACAAUUAUCAGACUUAUUUUUAUGAUCUUGGAACACCAGGUUAGUGUGUUCCAAGAUCAUAAAAAUAGAGUUAGUGGACUUGCAUGAGGUUAAUGGGGCUUUAAGAAAAUGUUACAUUUCUUUGGCACGAGAUAAGGUUCCCUUCUGAUGGGAGCCCUGUCACUUUUUAAGAUAUAACAACUUUCUCUGUCAAAGAGUUGAGAUAUUAGUCUGUGUGAAAUGAUUUAUAGUUUUUCCUUAGCUUGCCUGCUGAAUCUUAGGCAAAAAAUAAAAAAAUCUUCUGGCCGA